rnacentral:lncRNA from 1 species
UUGAGAAUUUAAUUGAACUGAAAUUUAAAUAGCUUUAAAUUAAAUUUAGGAUUAAAUAUGUUUUUGGUCCUUGUUUUUAUUAAGUGUUUUUGGUUUUAGUCCAUCUUUCAAAUUAAAGUACAUUUUAGUCUUCCUUUUUAAGGAAACUUUGAUUUUAAUCCUCUAAAACAAACACCGUUAAAAACCAGCUGACGUGACUAACGGUAGACUGACACAAUUUUUUUUUCUUACGGUUUCUCACCUUUUCUCCCUUUCUCUCUUUCUCAUCUUUUCCUUCCAUCUUCCACCC